UACGGAGGGAGCUAGCGUUGUUCGGAAUUACUGGGCGUAAAGCGCACGUAGGCGGCUAUUCAAGUUAGAGGUGAAAGCCCGGGGCUCAACCCCGGAACUGCCUUUGAAACUAGAUAGCUAGAAUCUUGGAGAGGUCAGUGGAAUUCCGAGUGUAGAGGUGAAAUUCGUAGAUAUUCGGAAGAACACCAGUGGCGAAGGCGACUGACUGGACAAGUAUUGACGCUGAGGUGCGAAAGCGUGGGGAGCAAACAGGG
rnacentral:rRNA from 1 species